rnacentral:lncRNA from 1 species
AUGCCUGUUCUUUUGUUGUUUAUAGAGUCAGUUUUUGAACGAUGGAGUCAGAUCCCACUUGAAAUCAAAAAGGAGGCUGGACAGCGGAUGAAAAUCUGUGUCUUUUGGCUUCCUAUUCUAUUGCAGCGGGACGAGUCCAGCAAUGCUGUUUGCUGGGCUGCAGAAAUAGGUCUAAUCAGCUCAAAGAACACAGAGGACCUACGUCUGAAGCACCUGCGCAAGAUUGAGACAGUGGAGACAAUCCUCAGAGCCUUGGAGCAAGGAUCUUUGAAAAAGGACCAAAGCAAACAUGUUAAACUUGCAUCGCACCGUUGAGGUUUUGGAUGAUGCCUUACACUGGUUGGAGCAAACGGAAGAACCUGACGUAUGCACUCGCCUGAUGGAUCUCGGCCACGGACACACCUGCUUCACAGCUCUUCACUUUAUCUUCACAGAGUUUGCCAAGUAUAUUCAAGACAUGGGAGGACGCCAUGAAAAGACCAUGAAGUCACUGAUGGCUAAACCUGGAAGUUAUUCUAUAGAAUAAAUAAUAUAAUAUUAUAUUUAUAUAAUAAUAU